ACCCUGGCGGCAUGGCUAAGGCAUGCAACUCGAACGAGAAACAGGCUUCGGCCUGUGGACAGUGGCGAAAGGGUGAGUAACGCGUUCCUUACGUACCCCGAGGUGGAGGAUAGGUCGGAGAAAUUCGGCGUAAUACUCCAUAUCUUCUCCGGAAGAAAGGCUUCGGCCGCCUCGGGAGCGGGGAGCGUCCCAUCAGGUUGUUGGUGAGGUAAAGGCUCACCAAGCCAAAGACGGGUAGCGGGUGUGAGAGCAUGGCCCGCCACAUCGGGACUGAGACACUGCCCGGACUCCUACGGGAGGCUGCAGCGACGAAUAUUCCGCAAUGCGCGAAAGCGUGACGGAGCAAUGCCGCGUGCAGGAUGAAGCGGCUUCGCCGUGUAAACUGCUGUCAGGGUGUAGGAAUACUGACCAUACCCAAAGGAAGGACCGGCUAACCUCGUGCCAGCAGCCGCGGUAAUACGAGGGGUCCAAGCGUUAAUCGGAAUCACUGGGCUUAAAGGGUACGUAGGCGGCCCUGUAAGCAUCUCGUGAAAUCCCACGGCUCAACCGUGGAAUUGCGGGGUGAACUACAGGGCUUGAGGCAGGUAGAGGUCAUCGGAACGAUCGGUGGAGCGGUGAAAUGCGUUGAUAUCGAUCGGAACGCCAAAGGAGAAGUCAGGUGACUGGGCCUGUCCUGACGCUGAGGUAC
rnacentral:rRNA from 1 species